rnacentral:rRNA from 1 species
GUGUCAGCCGCCGCGGUAAUACGUAGGUGGCAAGCGUUGUCCGGAAUUAUUGGGCGUAAAGCGCGCGCAGGUGGUUUCUUAAGUGUGAUGUGAAAUCCCACGGCUUAACCGUGGAGCUUCAUUGGAAACUGGGAGACUUGAGUGCAGAAGAGGAAAGUGGAAUUCCAAGUGUAGCGGUGAAAUGCGUAGAGAUUAGGAAGAAUACCAGUGGCGAAGGCGACUUUCUGGACUGCAACUGACGCUGAGGCGUGAAAGCAUGGGGAGCAAACAGGAUUAGAUACCCUGGUAGUCCACGCCGUAAACGAUGAGUGCUAAGUGUUAGGGGGUUCCCGCCCUUUAGUGCUGCAGCUAACGCAAUAAGCACUCCGCCUGGGGAGUACGAUCGCAAGAUUGAAACUCAAAGGAAUUGGCGG